AUGUGAGGUACCCCAAAGGCAUUCCUCUAGCACAAUACGAACAGUGGAACAUAGGGGUACAAGGGAGAUCAAGCACAUUUUUUAUAUAUAAGGGUAGAAACAGUAUAGCUUUACUUUGUUUAGGCAUUUGCAUAACGUUUGCAUAACAUAACUUUCUGGGCAUGUGAUUAUUUUGCAGUGGCAAGAGAUGGUCAAGCUAUGAGUAAGUUACUACAUGCGUUAAGGAAAGGCUGAGUGAGUCAAAAGAUUGGUUAUUGCUAGUGGCAGCAGCAGGAGAUAUGGUGGUAAGAAAUGCUGUGACAUGGCUGACAUAAGUUAGUAACGUGUCGGGUUGGACACCAUCAUGGCAGGCUGGUAUGUCUACCUAUACGUGGGUGUUUAGCUUAUGAGUAACUAGAACCUUCCUAGCCAUUAAGGCUAUAGAUUAGUGGUCCCACGGAUAAGUGUGCUGGACCAACUCUGGUGGCAGGAUAUCGAGGUUAU